rnacentral:rRNA from 1 species
GACGUAGGGCGCGAGCGUUGUCCGGAUUUAUUGGGCGUAAAGAGCUCGUAGGCGGCUUGUCGCGUCGACUGUGAAAUCCCGCGGCUCGACCGCGGGCCUGCAGUCGAUACGGGCAGGCUAGAGUUCGGUAGGGGAGACUGGAAUUCCUGGUGUAGCGGUGAAAUGCGCAGAUAUCAGGAGGAACACCGAUGGCGAAGGCAGGUCUCUGGGCCGAUACUGACGCUGAGGAGCGAAAGCGUGGGGAGCGAACAGG